GCGAUGCUGACGCGGAGGGACAUUACUGAGUUCUACAAAACUCCCAACCCUAUGUGAAUUUACCACUGUUGCCUCGGCGCCGAGCGGCAGCUACCCGGGAAGAGCUACCCUGGAGACACCUACCCUGUAGGUGGCUACCCUGGAGCUACCCUGUAGUUGCACCUAACGCUCCGCCGGCGGACCAUUAAACUCUGUUUUUACGGUGUAUCUCUGAGUAUUUUAACUAAAUACGUUAAAACUUUCAACAACGGAUCUCUUGGUUCUGGCAUCGAUGAAGAACGCAGCGAAAUGCGAUACGUAAUGUGAAUUGCAGAAUUCAGUGAAUCAUCGAAUCUUUGAACGCAUAUUGCGCCCAUUAGUAUUCUAGUGGGCAUGCCUAUUCGAGCGUCAUUUCAACCCUUAAGCCCUGUAGCUUAGUGUUGGGAACCUACCCUCUCAGGGGGUAGCUCCCUAAAACCAGUGGCGGUGCUAGGUACACUCGUAGCGUAGUAAUAUUUUUCUCGCUUCUGCAGUGUUCGUAGCUACCUGCCGUAAAACCCCCUAUACUUCUAGUGGUUGACCUCGGAUUAGGUAGGAAUACCCGCUGAACUUAAGCAUAUCUAAA
rnacentral:rRNA from 1 species